GCCCUUACGACCAGGGCUACACACGUGCUACAAUGGCGCAUACAAAGAGAAGCGACCUCGCGAGAGCAAGCGGACCUCAUAAAGUGCGUCGUAGUCCGGAUUGGAGUCUGCAACUCGACUCCAUGAAGUCGGAAUCGCUAGUAAUCGUGGAUCAGAAUGCCACGGUGAAUACGUUCCCGGGCCUUGUACACACCGCCCGUCACACCAUGGGAGUGGGUUGCAAAAGAAGUAGGUAGCUUAACCUUCGGGAGGGCGCUUACCACUUUGUGAUUCAUGACUGGGGUGAAGUCGUAACAAGGUAACCGUAGGGGAACCUGCGGUUGGAUCACCUCCUU
rnacentral:rRNA from 2 species